GCGGCCGCCGAGCACAUGGACCCGCUGGUCAAGCGGGCUCGGCAAGGCCAGGAUGAAGAGAAGCUGCGAACUUAGCACUCCCAGAGACCCCCGAGUGGAUAUCCGCGUGGAAAGGAUGUUGGCAGCCCCGGUGACCUCGGAGUCACGGCUGGAUCCACCCUCUUCAUACCCUUGAAGCGUUCCAGAAGGAUUUUGAGGUCCUUUCCUAAAUCAAAGGUGGAAUAUUUGGGGAUUUGGAAAAUUGAGAUGAGAAGCAUUGACUUAAGAGAUGCCAAGUAACUCAGCAGAUGUCACACAGACGAUAAAUAGCAAAGAUGGAAGUCUUCAUGCCGGAGGCAAUCCUAUAAGACAGCUGAGUUCUCCAGAGCUGGAGACAGACUUGCUCAGGUGAUAGAUCCAGCCAUGAUACUGACCCUAAGAGAAUGAGACACUCUGCAGAAGACUUAGAAGAUUCCUGAGACUGGGAAAGGUGCCUAGAAAUCCUGAGAAGAGUGAAGAAGACUCGGCUCUCCAGUGUGAUUUUCCAACAGGAGUCAAAUAUUAAAGGACAUGAGCUUGGGGGAAAAGAUGGGUGGUGCUAAACAGCCUGAGUUCAUCCUCGCUAUCCUCUUCAUAAGGAUAGCAAGAAGAACCCCAGAAAUGGCUCAUGCUUAAGGUUUCUCACCACGGUCACACCUACAACACACUGAUUGACAAUAUUGGUUUACAGCACACA
rnacentral:lncRNA from 1 species